GACCCAGUGGUGUAAUGGUAGACACACCUACUUUCAGUUCGUGACGCAAUAGCGUGGGAGAUCCUUGUUCAACUCAGGGCUGGGUCA